GUUUUACGAGAUAAAAUAUGGUAAUUAUGUUGUGUUUGAGAUAUGAUUGUAUUCUCUAGCAAAAUGGACAUGAUUAGAUAUUGCAGGGCUUGAUUGUGAUAAAAUUGGAUGUGCUUUGAUGAUAUAUUAAGGAGAUUAACUUUUGAAGCAUUUGGAGUGACAUGCUAAACACGAAGACACUAGAAAAAAUUUUGAAAACAUAGAAAAAAGUGGUGGA
rnacentral:lncRNA from 1 species